rnacentral:piRNA from 1 species
CNGCAGACAUACCUACCCUUCCUGUGUGC